GGCUUACCUCUCUCUCACUUCCUCUCUAUGUUUGGUUGAAUGUCUAAUUUAUUACUACCCGUGGUUGUUCUUUGUUUGACUAAGUCACUCUGUUAGUAAACAAUGUAGGCCACUCCUCAAGCUAAUUUGUAAGGUGACGUACCCACCGCCCUCACCAAGCGUACUCAAGAUGGAGGCACAGAAGUGGUGGAGGCUAAAGCAGGAAAAGGUUCAGCUACAUUGUCGAUGGUGUAAGUAUUCUGUUUUGCUAGCAUUUUCGUAAUUGUUCUCACUUUUUCUUGAUCUACUUUUGAUUCUCAACUCCUGUAAUCUGACAACCGUUGUCACAGCUAUGCUGGAGCGCUAUUCGCUGAUGCAUGCUUGAAGGGACUCAACGGAGUUCCAGAUGUUGAAGAAUGCUCGUACGUGCAAUCCACAAUCACUGAGCUUCCUUUCUUUGCCUCAAAGGUGAGGUUGGGGAAGAACGGUGUGGAGGACGUUCUUGAUUUGGGACCACUCUCAGACUUUGAGAAGGAAGGGUUGGAAGCACUGAAGCCAAAGCUCAAGUCUUUCAUUGAGAAGGGAGUUAAGUUUGCCAACCAAUGAGUAAAUCGACUUGAGUCUAUUUGUCCAAUUUACGGUUAUAAUCCAUGUUUGAGGCUCUUUGUUUCAUUUCCCAAAGCACAAAGAUAAAACAGUAACAUGUCAGUUAAUUUAUGUUGGGAUUUUUAUUUGCUUUUUGAAUAAAACUCUAACCUCUUAGACUUUAGCAUUAAACACACUUUGAUGAGGGCGAGAAAGAUGACCACAGCGACAGACCGUCGUCUAUUUCAUCUAUAUCUCACCAUUGAAAAAGUUCCCGACAACAAUACACACAAAGACAAAAGAUUGUGAAGUAGAGAUAAUUGUUCAUGAGCAUGUGCUAAGAGCAGCUCCAUUGGAAGCUCUAGCAACGGGUUUCAAAAAAAUAAAGGCUUAACAAUAAAUGAAAAAUAGAAAGAAAGAAGAGAACCGGUAAUUAACUUGGCAUUUUUAGGAUUUGUUGGAACCCCUACGUGGCUACUUCUAAUUGGACCGAUUCUACUACUCUCUCUCCUUCUUCGGGGUUUCCGUCGAAACCCAUAUUUUCUUUUCUUUCUUCCUCUUUCCUCGAUCUCUCCGUCUAUGGCGAUUCUCUGGCGAUAUCUGGAAGGAUGAAACUCCAGCGAAUGAUCGGUCAUCUUCUUCUUCUCAUUUUGCAAGAAUGAAAGCUCUCUUCGUCCUCUCGUUGCCCGUCUCGACGGAUCUUCACCGAACCGUCUUCUUCUUCUUCUCACCGUUGAAGACGAAACCGUUGGAUUCGAUCAUGGAUUUGGAUAGAUCGAAAACCAAAUCUCCGAAGGAACUCACAGCGAUCUGUAUAACUUGGGACGAGGGCAUAUUGGGAUCAUUAUGAAAGCUUCCCACUUCAUCGUUUGGUCAUUCAACGAGCAGCCGAAUGGUAAUAACAAUAUCAUCAGCUUUGUUUAUUGUCCAAAUGAAUCUUUGACUUGUUUUUCUUCUUAUGUUUGAUGAUAUAUCAAUUGCAGCCAUUACUUUGUUAUUCCAUUGUGGAGAGGAAAUGGUUACAUGCGUAUUGUGUGCUCAAGGUUUGUUAAUAUUCUUUGAUCUCA